rnacentral:misc_RNA from 1 species
GAUGAAGAACGCAGUGAAAUGCGAUAAGUAAUGCGAAUUGCAGAAUUUCCGUGAGUCAUCGAGUCUUUGAACGCACAUUGCGCCCCCUGGUAUUCCGGGGGGCAUGCCUGUCCGAGCGUCAUUGCUGCCCUCAAGCACGGCUUGUGUGUUGGGCCUCCGUCCUCCUCCCGGGGGACGGGCCCGAAAGGCAGCGGCGGCACCGCGUCCGGUCCUCGAGCGUAUGGGGCUUCGUCACCCGCUCUUGUAGGCCCGGCCGGCGCUUGCCGACACAUCAAUCUUUUUUCCAGGUUGACCUCGGAUCAGGUAGGGAUACCCGCUGAACUUAAGCAUAUCAAUAAGCGGAGGA